CUGGGGAUAACCUGACUCCACAAACAUGUCUGAAAGUUAGCAAAGUAACUUUUCCCUUAGCUGGCUUGUGGCCUAUUCAUUAAUCAAUGAUUGCAAAGACAAAGUGUAGGUACAGAUGGUACCAUUUGUAUUUCAGGCUUAGGGAGAUUUAAAGUGUCUGGCUGCUACAAACCCACGUGAGGGAUUAUCGAUGCAUUACUCAUUGCCAGUUUGGGUGUAGCAUGGGAAGGUGCUCACCUGCAUAAGCUAUGCUGAUCCUCUGCUCUUUAAGGGAGAGAAGAAUCAAUAGACUGCAGAAAUGCUGAGGGCACUCCUCAGGAAGAAGUGCUGUGAAACUCCCUUUUCACCUAAAUCUCUACAUGCAACUUCUCCAAGCUCUCAACCCCUCUUGGGAGCUCACACUAGAACCCACCAUUUGGGACAGUUUUAUUUCAUGUGUGUGCAGAUUCCCCUUUUGAAAUGUGCAUCCUAAUUCAUGACUCUUUAUUCUCUUCAUGGGAGAGUAAAUUAUACACAGAGCAGGAGGACUCAACCUGACCCUCUGUCCAGCACAGGCACUGCAAUGUUACCUAUGGGUCCUUGAAAGGGAGAGGAUUUGUCCUCCCUGCCACACAGCUAGAGGAUGCUCAGUGCCAUACAAAGACAUCCUCUCAGCUGAAUGGUUCACAGAGGGGUCCUAUGGGUUUAGGUGGCUUCACCUCCAUUGUCCUUUGGAGGGAUGUGUGACUGUGCAUCCCACUGCUUCUGUCUGCUCUUUGGGGUUCAGCUGUAGAUUUUCUGGCUGAACAUUGAUACCCCUGCUGACAUUAGCUGGCGUGGUACAUGGUCUCUGUCACAUGCAUCAUCACCUGGUUCUCAGUGGUGAUAAGAUACAUUGCAAUGCUCAGGUAUGAUGAGUUGGGAGUGGCAGUUUCUAACAGUGGCCUCCAUCUCCAUCAGUGACAAGGUUUCCAAAGCUCCUCAUUCACUUCUGGGAUUGCAUUGUGAGGUUGGCAUCCAGGGCACUUGGGCAUGUCAGCUGGCUAACAGCUACCUCCUAUUGUGCAUCUAAAGUUUGGGCUGAAGAGGGUUCUGUCCCUUGCUUCUGCAUGCUGGUAGUAGAAGACUGCUCUAGAAACGCUCUUUUCUCUCGAAAACAUCAACUCUAUGAUCUCCUCUUAGCCUGUUCCUGGGCUGUAAAUACACUUCUGCUAGUCUGCCAAUAUCAAGACUAUGUUUCUUCAGCAUUUCCAUAGAAACAGUGAUUGCAUGGGCUCCUCAGCUGUGAUGAGUGACCCGGUCAACACUACAGCUGUCCACAUGGAAUUGGGCUUUUGUUAGCAUGGCAGGAAGAUCCAUUGGAAAGAGCCAACGACAACGGCUGAAAAUCUCUUAUGUCUCCCCAGACUUGAUGCUGUGGCUGCUUGAGCCCUGGCCUAGCACAUUUUCACCUCCACCACGUGUCUGCCCCUUGAACUGGACCCACGUAACUUCCAUUAAGAUGGUGCCUCUGGUUCCUCAGGCCGGGAAGAAGAGGAAGGAGGAGUUGUAUUCCCUGGCUGGCAUUUGUCAUCCUGCUUUCUCCCCAUCAGUUGCUGACAUGCUUCGUCCUUUGUGCCAGAGCCUGGCUGCUGCCAGUGUAAAACCCCAGUGGGGUUUAGAGGGAAAUCGCUGGUACCAUCUCAGCAUGGGUUUGCCUGGAGAGUGGUGUGGGUCCUGUGCCCUGCAGAGCUCCCUCUCACCGCUGGUUCAGCUGUUCCUGCUGUGCUUAGCAGCAUGAAAGUACCACAACCAGGCUGUGAUGGAUGGUAUACCCUUUGUGUGCCUAGGAUGUGGCUGGACAGCUAUUACUACAGUCUCUACGGGGAAAGGAAUAACUGCAUGAGUUGAUGGCAUCCUUGCUCUGCUGUUAUUGAAAGGCCAAGCUGUAGCAAUGAGGAAAAUACAGGGUCUUUAUAACCAAAACGAAGACUUACCCGCUUUCACCCCGCAUAGCUCCUCUCAUGAGUUCUUGUUAGAUUAGUUUCUGAAGGUCUGAGUCAGGCAGUCCAAGGUCAGCUCAUCAUCUCUGCAAUUACCCUUGCUGCAGAAGGUAGGGAAGGAUUAAAGAAUGAGGUAACCCCUCUGCA